UCCUCGGGAUGCAACAGAAUCUUGACAGGC
rnacentral:piRNA from 1 species